AGGAAGCAGAUACAAAUUGCUCCCAGUUCAACGUAUCAACGGUGUCUCAGGGAGUGACUCACUGUUUCUAUAACCCAAAAGUCCAAAACAGUGACUAUGAAACAGCAACAGAGUUGAUUCUCAAUCAACGAACCCUCUACAAACUGCAGCAAGGUA